rnacentral:sRNA from 1 species
UUGCGCCCCAGAUUGCAACGGAAAUCCUUUUAUUUUUCUUUGUCUUCGACUCCGCUCAGACUGACAGAAGUGGAAAAAUAAAAGAUUGUAGUGGAAAGCUGGAAAUUUG